GAUGAAGAACGUAGCGAAAUGCGAUAAGUAAUGUGAAUUGCAGAAUUCAGUGAAUCAUCGAAUCUUUGAACGCACAUUGCGCCCGCCAGUAUUCUGGCGGGCAUGCCUGUUCGAGCGUCAUUUCAACCAUCAAGCCCCAGGCUUGUGUUGGAGCCCUGCGGCUGCCGCAGCCUCCCAAAACCAGUGGCGGGCUCGCUAUCACACCGAGUGCAGUAGUUUACUCUUCGCUAGGGCGUGUGGCGGGUGCUAGCCGUAAAACCCCCAACUUCUCAAGGUUGACCUCGGAUCAGGUAGGAAUACCCGCUGAACUUAAGCAUAUCAAUAAGCGGAGGA
rnacentral:misc_RNA from 1 species